GGCAAUUUCUUUUCUUUUCAGGAAAUUUUUUUUCUUUCAGGCAAUUUCUUUCUUUUCAGGAAAUUUCUUUCUUUUCAGGAAAUUUCUUUUCUUUCAGGCAAUUUCUUUUCUUUUCAGGAAAUUUCUUUCUUUUCUGGGAAUAUCUGGCGGCUCAUAAAUGUAGUUAGGCUUUAUCUGGAGGUGGCUCUUCCCAAUGUAUAAGUAAAAAGUUCAAGUUUAUGGUGUUAGCGUUAAAAAGUCCAACAAGGCAGAUUGGGGCCGUACAAAUAUUCGGCGAACUAGAACAAAACAAUAUUCCUAACCCUGGCUUGAGCUCAACCCUGAGUGGAAUCCUGUACCCAUUGUGGUAAGUAGACUCUAAACUUAACUGCUUGUUGUCCCUUCUAUUAACUUUUGCUAUUUUUCUCUUUUCUUGCUAUGUAAUGUUCGUGGAAUCUAAUUUGCUUGCUGUCGUCCGUCCUGCCGUCCAAGUAAAAGGUACAAUGUCUAUGGGAAUUACCAAGGGCUUGCCAGAGUGACAAAACCGCAAAUCUGCGCCUCCCACGUUGGAUUGGAUGGUGUUGGUGUGGCUCCCGAGGUUAAUUUUAAGAUGAUUUCUUAUUUUUUUUGUUUUGAUAUUUGUAUAGUUUGUUUAAACUUUGUUUAGGUUUAGUUUUUUUUUUCCUUUAAUUAAUUAUUUUUAAUAUUUCUUUAAAUUCCUUUUUUUGUUUAAAAGCAGAAAGGAAAUUUUAAUAAAUGCCAAAAGAAAUAAAACAAUUCGGGUUUUCUUGUUGGUCUUGCUGUUGUCGGUUGGCUGGAGCCACACAUCCAAUCUUCUUACCAGUGCAAAUCAAAAAAAGCCCAUUUUCCUGCGAAAAUUUGCCAGGAAAUUUCGGAUUGUCAUCCUUCUUUUCCUUUGUUUUUCUUCCCCUUCGUCUUGACAUUUCUGCAUGUGUUUGCAACAAAACAGCUGUUUUUGCAGAUAGUUGGCAAUAUUAUUAUUCUUCUUCUUUUUUAUGUAUUCAUUUUUAGACUUAACCCUCUAUAAGACGCACCCCACAAAGCCAACUAUCCUGCCGAUAUCCUUAUCAAGGGAUAGGAGGGAAAAAGUGCGACAUUUGAUACAUUAAUUUAGAUACAAAUCUGCUUAAUAUGCGUUACCUACAACAGGAAUCUUUAUUUGGCAACUCUAAGCCUUCUCGAUCUGGCAACUCUAUCAACAACUUCCCAAUUUUUCAUACACCAAUAUUGUUAACUUAUGAAGUUUUAAUUCAUCCCAUGUAAACCAGCUUUGACUGAAGUCUUACGCAUGGUGUAAAUGAUGUUUACGACGUACGCAAGGCGUCGCGCUGCAAGUAUUUAGUCAAACCUAAACUGUCAAUGAAUGAAACUGACUUUUAUGAAUGGCAACCGGCGUUAGCGUAUAUUGUAAUUCUAAUUGGCGGUCGAUGUGAUUCUCGGUGUCGUCGAAAAUUUAUAAAAUAAAGGUAAGUACAGUGUAAAAUAAUUUUAGUGGAUAAGGAAAAGUGUUUAAUUAAACUUCUCGCGUCGUGUAAUUGAUGAUAAAGUGUUUUGUGUGUGAAAAGGGUAAAAAAAGUGAAUGAAAAAUUAACCACGCAAUUACAACCAGUGAGUGUGUGUGUGU